GCGGGCUUGGAUUUAUGAUGCUGUGGGCCCGCAUCACAGCGCGUCAAGCGAGCGAUCACGGGGAUCUCCAGACGCUCGUCGGUAUAGCCAUUGGCUGCUCAAAGUAGGCCGCUAGGGGAUGCUCGCAUUGCUCCCGGUGCUCCGAAUUUCAUACAGCAGUCAAUGCCGCACGCCGUGGAGGGGUGAUUCGUGUUGGACGAAUCAGAAGGUGCGGGACGCCG
ncrna:unclassified sequences PAGEV RNA